GAUCUGCAAAUAAGCACUUAUGUACUGCUUCAACCAGACACAGGUAAUUUGCGAUUGCAGACACUUUGGUUCGGGAGAGGGAUUUAGCGUUUCACAUCGAUGGUCUCAGUAAAAGGAAGAUUGAAAUGCCACUUUUUGUGUCGAAAACAUCAUAUCAUAAUCAUACUCUGCCAUCGGCUGAAUGAUUGCCGAGUGGAACACUACUCCCCUAUCUUUCUUUGAUAUCCCAUGCACAUUGAUAUCUGCCAAAAAGCUGGUCUUCAUUCGUGGAGGAGAUGGAGAUGAAGGCCCUCUAAAAGCUAAAGCGCAAGGCACAGCCUUUUUUUAUCUUUGUUGCAUGGUGCACUUCAGCUUAUAUUAUAUUGAAUGAAAGGAGGCCAUCAUCAUAGGGAAGAAAGUAAAGCAGGAACACAGAGUUCUUCCUCGAGAUCUAUACACACUUUGGAGCUCAGUCUGCCUUCCAGGAGAAGAGAGUAUCUAUGGAAGGUGCCAAGGUUCUCCCUUUGUGCUGCAACGAAUGACAUGAGAGGUGAAAGGAUCUGAAUGAGGACAUGAGCUUCAUUGUUUGAAUGCCUGUUCAUUUGAUUUCUGCUGUGUCUCGGCACACAGUCACAAGAAACAAACAUCUCAAGAGUCCAGCCUUCGGACAUACGAUCAGAGGAUGAAGACAAACAGCCCAUGCUUUGUUCACCUCCAUGACACGGUUGAACUCUACCUCACAUAAUCUGCACACCCUGCUUUGUUUGCUUGCGUUCAAGUUAUAUGUGCCGCUGCUGCUGUUGUUGCUCAGGAAGGUACGCUGUUCACGUCGCAGAAGGACGGCUGACAUCUGAAUCUGUAUCUAUCUAUCUAUCUAUCUAUCUAUCAUACUCUUAAAGUAUGAAAUGUAUGCAAUGCUCGAAUUCAAAAGACAAGAUUGGGUCACUGGAACGAAGGUCAAUGAUGGUGAUCCAGAUUUCCUGACUGCAAAUGACAUCGAUGGAAUCCAAGAUUAAAACAAUAUUAUGUAGAAUUGUUUUAAGUUGAGCUAAUUAAACUGUGUGUGAAUAGCCUUGGAUUGAUUGAUUGUGACUCAUAAUAAUGUUCUACAGCUCAAUAUGUAGGUCAGUGCUCAAAGAAAACUUGAAUAUGAACAAGUGGCCCCAUCUCUCUUCUUCUC